GAUGAACGCUGGCGGCGUGCUUAACACAUGCAAGUCGAACGGUGAAGGCUGUGUUUGCUCUGCUGGAUCAGUGGCGAUCGUGUGAGUAACACGUGUGCAAUCUGCCCCGUACUUGGGGAUAUGCGUGGGAAACGGCGUCUAAUACUGGAUACGAGCUGUGAUGGCAUCUUCAGCAGCUGGAAAGAAUUUCGGUCAGUGAUGAGCUCGUGGCCUAUCAGCUUGUUGGUGAGGUAAUGGCUCACCAAGGCGUCGACGGGUAGCCGGCCUGAGAGGGUGACCGGCCACACUGGGACUGAGACACGACCCAGACUCCACAGGGAGGCAGCAGUGGGGAAUAUUGCACAAUGGGCGAAAGCCUGAUGCAGCACAGCCGCGUGAGGGACGACGGCCCUCGGGUUGUAACAAAAAAUUAGCAGGGAAGAAGCGAAAGUGACGGUACCUGCAGAAAAAGCGCCGGCUAACUACGUG
rnacentral:rRNA from 1 species